AUCUUUUUCAUCUUGGAUUUGUCUUUGAUAAUUUGAUGUGUUGUAUUGAUCGUUUAUGAAUUGACUGAUUGAAUUGGCAUAAUACAUUUACCUGACUAAUAAAUUGUUAUGUUUUGAAUUAUUUAAACCUCGUGUUAUUAUCACUGAUAAAUGUUGUUGUCCAUAGCACUACAAGCCACUGUACAGGUUAGUAACGGACUAAAACAUGUUAGACGGAGCAGCGUGGCACGCUAUACAAUGUUGUUAGAGAUCCGACUAACAAAUUGGCAUUAUUUCAAGUAUACUUGGGGUGUGAAAGCACCCUUAGACUGCAAAAGGCCAACUAUGGGUUUUCUAUUUAGAACAACAAAAUAUUGUUGAAACUAAUUUAAGUGUGGAUAUUUAGGCCUUCAUCUACAAACUUAUAAUCCUGUGUGAUUAUUAUUAAAAUACUUUGUCUUGAUUAAGUAGACAACAGAUCUAUGGGGACCAAAUAAAAAUCUCCUAAAUUGAGUAAGUAGGGUUCUGCCUUUUUAGGAGAGUGGUUAAUCGCCUCUGUUUAAUGACCAAGACUGACAAGCUUGUAUUAAGAGAUUGUAUACCCGGCCGGUGCAAGACUCGAGAUGCUAUAGGAAUCUGAGUAAAUGAGAAUAAGGUAUAAUAACAAAUUAAAAGAAUAUUCAAUCAUAAUCUAAAAUAAUGUGAAAGGAAACAAAAUAAUCUUAUCAAUGUUUUAUAAUUGGAGUCAGAUAAAACGAGGAUAAAUAUAUUAAUAUUUUAAACCACCUCAUAUUAAAAUUGGAGUCAGAUAUGAGCUAAGUUUAAUAUAAAUCAACAUUGUGCACUGGAAAGACCGAACAUGCAGUGAACCUUCAUCCACCAUUGGAUACCGUCAUUGGACCAACUGGCUGGACCCUACAAGCGCGUUACUGU
ensembl:processed_transcript